GCUGGGAUAGCUCAGUCCGUAAAGCAUGAGGCUCUUAAUCUCAGGGUUGUGGGUUUGAGCCCUACAUUGGGCA